CGAGUGAAGCGGCAAUAGCUCAAAUUUGAAAGCUGGCCCCUUUGGGGUCCGCGUUGUAAUUUGUAGAGGAUGAUUCGGCGAGGGCUCCCGUCUAAGUCCCCUGGAACGGGGCGUCAUAGAGGGUGAGAAUCCCGUAUGUGAUGGGUUGCCUUAGCCAUGUGAAUCUCCUUCGACGAGUCGAGUUGUUUGGGAAUGCAGCUCUAAAUGGGAGGUAAAUUUCUUCUAAAGCUAAAUACCGGCCAGAGACCGAUAGCGCACAAGUAGAGUGAUCGAAAGAUGAAAAGCACUUUGGAAAGAGAGUUAAAAAGUACGUGAAAUUGUUGAAAGGGAAGCGCUUGCAGCCAGACUUGUCCGCAGUUGCUCAGCCGGUCUCCUGACCGGCGUACUCUUCUGCGGCCAGGCCAGCAUCAGUUCGGGCGGUCGGAUAAAGACCCCAGGAAUGUAGCUCCUCUCGGGGAGUGUUAUAGCCUGGGGUGGAAUGCGGCCAGCCUGGACUGAGGAUCUCGCUUCGGCUAGGAUGCUGGCGUAAUGGCUGUAAGCGGCCCGUCUUGAAACACGGACC
rnacentral:rRNA from 1 species